CCUACGGGGGGCAGCAGUGGGGAAUAUUGCACAAUGGGGGAAACCCUGAUGCAGCAACGCCGCGUGAGUGAAGAAGGUUUUCGGAUUGUAAAGCUCUGUUAGCAGGGAAGAGGAAGGACGGUACCUGCAGAGGAAGCCACGGCUAACUACGUGCCAGCAGCCGCGGUAAUACGUAGGUGGCAAGCGUUGUUCGGAAUAACUGGGCGUAAAGGAUGCGUAGGCGGUUAAUCAAGUUAUAUGUUAAAUAUAUAGGCUUAACCUGUAGAAAGCAUAUAAACCGGGUUAAUUAGAGUGCAGGGGAGGUAAGUGGAAUUCAUGGGGUAGCGGUGAAAUGCGUAGAGAUUAGGAAGAACCCCAGGGGCGAGGGCGACU
rnacentral:rRNA from 1 species